rnacentral:rRNA from 1 species
UUAAAAAGCUCGUAGUUGAACUUCUGCAAGUUGAGGAUCCGUCCAUUUUGGUUCGUUUCCUUCUUGCAUCCCAUCAGAUUUAACAUCACGGUCUUUGUUGGUCGGUUGUAAAAUCUAUGAAUUUACUUUGAAAAAAUUAGAGUGUUUCAAGCAGGCGAUUUGCUGGAAUACAUUAGCAUGGAAUAAUAGAACAGGACCUUUAUGUCAUUUUAUUGGUACUAUGACAAUAGGUAAUGAUUAACAGGGACAGUUGGGGGCAUUAGUAUUAUUUCAGAAGAGGUGAAAUUCAUUGAUUGAGAUGAGACUAACUUAUGCGAAAGCAUUCGCCAAGGAUGUUUUCAUUUAUCAAGAACGAAAGUUAGGGGAUCAAAGACGAUUAGAUACCGUCCUAGUCUUAACUAUAAACUAUACCGACUAGGGAUUGGUGAGGAACUUUGUGCCUCCAUCAAGCACCUUAUGAGA